UGGUCCUUCGCUACUACAGAUCGUGAUGUCAACUUUGAAAAAUUAUUCCGAGCACACCUAGCGACGCUGGUACCUACCAUAACCUCUUCAUCUAGCUAGGGUAUAAAGAGUGACUAAUGAAGAUAUGGUAGGUAUCGACGAUGCUAGAUGUGCUCAGAAUGAUGUUUCAAAAUUGAUGUCACAAACUAUAGUAGCGAAGGACCAAC